rnacentral:lncRNA from 1 species
AAAAGUUAUUGAAUGGCCUGUUUGAAAUGAAAAAAAAAAAUGCCUGUGCAUUUCAAAGCACCCCAAUGAUUAAAGUAUUUGCCUUCAUCUGCUUAACGUAGCAAUCCUGAUUUAAUAGCCAAGAUUUAGGCAUUAGGCCAAGAUGGAUAAAUCGCAAUGGAAAUGCUUACCAAGUCCUUAAACCUGGCUCACACUGAUUGGUUAGUGGAAAUUAUGAUGCUAUGUAAUUGUGAGCUUAAAUUAAUACAAUAUGUUUUAAGACUAUGUAAAUGUUGUCCAAAGAAGUGUAGGAGUCUUUAUUCGUAGAUUAGAGUCCGAAUUCACUAAAAAUACAUCUAAAGAAGAAUAUAUUAAAGAUACUUCUAAAAAAGAACAGAGGUAUUUCAUUUUAUUUUUUUGAUGGCGAACAUGUAUUUCCUUUAAAUGAUACAUUUAAAUGAAAUUAUAUCACCAAUUUAUUUCCAAAAGUCAUCCACUCAUUCAUUCCAAAAAAAAAAUUAAACGAAAAAAUAUGCAUGGAUCUUUGGCAUCUAUUCUAAAAAUUUCCAAUAGUCAAUUCUAACGCAUUUUUUUGUUACAUUUCAAAAUUGAACGGCAAAUCACAAGUUUUUUUUAAUUAUGCGUGCCGACGUGUAUUAUAAGUGUAUAAUACCCAAAUUUAAACGUAAAUUACUUUUCAUGAACCCAAAGAAUUAUGCAAUUCUCACUUUACCCAUUAAUUAAUUUUAUUUUUAAGUUGGUCUUAAUGCUACGUAUUGAGUUUUUGUCAAAUGUGGCCAAUAGAUGUUGUCUGCUUGUCUAAUGAAAAUUAUAACGUGACAUGGAUUUGAAAGGCCAAAACAAAAAUUGUGUAAUACUUCAAAAAUCAAACUAGAAAACUGAAAUAUUUAAAUCGGAGAUUGGAAAAGUUUUAUUUUUACUAUUUUUUUGUUGGUAGAGGAAUUUUUCAGUUUAUGUGAGCAGAUAAACGAGACGAAGAGUAGAUUGGUUAAGUUUAGUUUCAAAACUUAACGAGCUUUUAAAAAUAUAUUCGAUCUUAAUUUGUCUAUCAAACGAAGUAUUAAUCACAAAAGAGCUCUAAUCGAGCCAAUCGCGAGUAAUAAAUUAUUCAAACUUAGUUUGAAAGCUUAACGAGUUUUAAAAUAUAUUCGAGCUUAGUUUGUUUAUCAAGCAAAUUUAUUUUAAAUAAGCUUUUAACGAGUUGAUCACAAGUCUAACUAAAAUAAUUUGUUUCGUUUAUCAACUCUGUAUUUUCAGUUAGAGAACAAUUGAGCAACGUUGACAAAUACUCAAUAGUAGAUGGACCAGAAUUUAAGAAUCAAAGAGAUCAUUGAGUAAAAUACAAAGUGAAACUUAUCCUUUUAACAUUUGAUCCAUGCAAUAUGUUUUAAUUGCUUGCAUUAGAUACAGGAUAAAGCAAGAUAUCUAACAGUAAGGAUGAUGGUUUGGGAUCCAAAUUGUGGCUGCUGCAUGAUAUGGUUGUAAAUUUAGAACACGUAAACUCGAGACAUAAUCGUAGGGUUUUGAGAAGGGGUGCUCAUAAUUAAGCUUAUUAGAAAAUGGUAAAAUAUGUAAUAAGUACAACUAAGAAUAAAAAUGAUUAAAGAGAAUCUAUCUCUUUUAAUCAAUUUUUUUUUAUCAAUAAUCAAAAACACUGAAAAAUAAUAAAAAUUAACAACUGAUUAUAAUUCUAAUUUGACCAAGAAAUUAAUUGAAGUAGAAAAGCAAAAUCAAUUAAAAUAAAUAUAUCUAAAACUUAAGUAUUUUUAAAUUAAGUUACAACUUAUACCAAAAUAAGAUAUUAAAACAUAAAUUUCCUAAAAACAUAAACGAGUUGUGUUGUUUAAUAAUAUCUAAAUUUUCUCCGUCCCCAGCUUCCUUUAUGUCUGUAGCUUGUAAAAACUCAUCUAAUGUUCUUGUUGUGCUCAAAAAUCGAAUCAUCAAUUGUUUAGUAAAACACACAUUGCCCUAUAUUAUCCAGAAUAAUCACGCACAUAAGAUAAUAAAGAUUUACAUAGUUCGGCCGAUGUUUACAUUACAAUCAAUAGUCCAUUUUUCAGCACAUAAGAUAAUAAAGAUUGAAAUGAUGAUAGAAAUCACAAAUAAAAUGGUAAUUACGGUCACAACGGUAUAGUUCCUUCAUUUAUUGCAAUUCCAAUCUCUUGAGAUUUCACAAAUGUUAGCAUUCCGCAAAUUUUAAGAGUGUAUUUGGAUUAAAGAUUUGAUGGGGGAAAGAGAAAAAAAAAAUUAGAGAAUUCAAUGGUUAAAACAAGAAAGUAAGAAAGCUUCUAAAAGUUCUUAUUUUUUGGUUUUUGGGAUAAAUUUCAAUUUACUCACUUAUGGUGGUUUACCCUGUGAUAUUUAGAGACUAAAGUGCACCAUGAGACAUUCCAUCCAAGUUAAAAACGAGCGUAAAAAGCAUGGGAAAUAUUUGGGUGCAUCAGGCUGGCCCAUAUGUGGUACUCUCCACCAAUCAUAGCUCAGCAACAAAAUUGAUUGA